AUUGAACGCUGGCGGCAGGCCUAACACAUGCAAGUCGAACGAGUGGCGGACGGGUGAGUAAUGUAUGGGGAUCUGCCUGAUAGAGGGGGAUAACUACUGGAAACGUUGGCUAAUACCGCAUACUAUCGGAUGUACCCAUAUGGGAUUAGCUAGUAGGUGGGGUAAAGGCUCACCUAGGCGACGAUCCCUAGCUGGUCUGCAAGGAUGACCAGCCACACUGGAACUGAGACACGGUCCAGACUCCGACGGGAGGCAGCAGUGGGGAAUAUUGCACAAUGGGCGCAAGCCUGAUACAGCCAGGCCGCGUGUGUGAAGAAGGCCUUCGGGUUGUAAAGCACUUUCAGCGAGGAGGCGUUACUCGCAGAAGAAGCACCGGCUAACUCCGUGCCAGCAGCCGCGGUAAUUC
rnacentral:rRNA from 1 species